rnacentral:rRNA from 1 species
AUUGAACGCUGGCGGCAUGCCUUACACACGCAAGUCGAACGGUAACGCGGGGCAACCUGGCGACGAGUAGCGAACGGGUGAGUAAUGCAUCGGAACGUGCCCAGUAGUGGGGGAUAGCCCGGCGAAAGCCGGAUUAAUACCGCAUACGACCUACGGGUGAAAGCGGGGGAUCGCAAGACCUCGCGCUACUGGAGCGGCCGAUGUCAGAUUAGGUAGUCGGCGGGGUAAAGGCCCACCAAGCCUACUAUCUGUAGCUGGUCUGAGAGGACGACCAGCCACACUGGGACUGAGACACGGCCCAGACUCCUACGGGAGGCAGCAGUGGGGAAUUUUGGACAAUGGGGGCAACCCUGAUCCAGCCAUGCCGCGUGCGGGAAGAAGGCCUUCGGGUUGUAAACCGCUUUUGUCGGGGAAGAAAUCUUCCGGGCUAAUACCCUGGGGGGAUGACGGUACUCGGAGAAUAAGCACCGGCUAACUACGUGCCAGCCGCCGCCGUAACAC